rnacentral:rRNA from 1 species
AUUGAACGCUGGCGGCAGGCCUAACACAUGCAAGUCGAACGAGUGGCGGACGGGUGAGUAAUGUCUGGGCAACUGCCUGCUGGAGGGGGAUAACUACUGGAAACGGUAGCUAAUACCGCAUACCAUCAGAUGUGCCCAGAUUGGAUUAGCUAGUUGGGGGGGUAACGGCUCACCAAGGCGACGAUCCCUAGCUGGUCUGAGAGGAUGACCAGCAACACUGGAACGGAGACACGGUCCAGACGCCUACGGGAGGCAGCAGUGGGGAAGAUUGGACAAUGGGCGCAAGCCUGAUGCAGCCAUGCCGCGUGUAUGAAGAAGGCCUUCGGGGUGUAAAGGACGUUCAGCGGGGAGGCGGUACCCGCAGAAGAAGCACCGGCUAACUCCGUGCCAGCAGCCGCGGUAAUUC